rnacentral:rRNA from 1 species
AUUGAACGCUGGCGGCAGGCCUAACACAUGCAAGUCGAGCGGAUGAAGGGAGCUUGCUCCUGGAUUCAGCGGCGGACGGGUGAGUAAUGCCUAGGAAUCUGCCUGGUAGUGGGGGAUAACGUCCGGAAACGGGCGCUAAUACCGCAUACGUCCUGAGGGAGAAAGUGGGGGAUCUUCGGACCUCACGCUAUCAGAUGAGCCUAGGUCGGAUUAGCUAGUUGGUGGGGUAAAGGCCUACCAAGGCGACGAUCCGUAACUGGUCUGAGAGGAUGAUCAGUCACACUGGAACUGAGACACGGUCCAGACUCCUACGGGAGGCAGCAGUGGGGAAUAUUGGACAAUGGGCGAAAGCCUGAUCCAGCCAUGCCGCGUGUGUGAAGAAGGUCUUCGGACUGUAAAGCACUUUAAGUUGGGAGGAAGGGCAGUAAGUUAAUACCUUGCUGUUUCGACGUUACCAACAGAAUAAGCACCGGCUAACUUCGUG